UACGGGGGGGGGUAAGCGUUGUUCGGAAUUACUGGGCGUAAAGGGCGCGUAGGCGGCCACCGCAAGUCGACUGUGAAAUCUCCGGGCUUAACCCGGAAAGGUCAGCCGAUACUGCGGGGCUAGAGUGCAGAAGGGGCAACUGGAAUUCUCGGUGUAGCGGUGAAAUGCGCAGAUAUCAGGAAGAACACCGAUGGCGAAGGCAGCUCUCUGGGACGGUACUGACGCUGAGACGCGAAAGCGUGGGGAGCGAACAGG
rnacentral:rRNA from 1 species